rnacentral:snRNA from 1 species
GGAUGUGAGAGCAAUCUAGCUGUGACAUCUCUGACCCCAUUGAUUGCCAGAGCUAAUUUGCCUGAUCUGACUGGCUAGGCAGUGUCCCCUUCCUCCUUCACUGUGCCAUGUGCAUCCCUUCCAAAUCUGUGCGCUCCAGGGAAGAGGACAACCUUCUCAGGAGUGUACCAGCCUUCUGUGUAAUCCAAAUCACUUCACAGAACCUGUUGUAGUGUGGGUUUUGCGUAAAAUUAUCUUAAAAGGGACUAAAAUCUGAAAUGCAUUGAUUUUUGAAAUGUAAUUUUCUUU